rnacentral:rRNA from 1 species
GACGAACGCUGGCGGCGUGCCUAAUACAUGCAAGUAGGACGCAGUUGCGAACGGGUGAGUAACGCGUAGGUAACUACCUAUUAGAGGGGGAUAACUAUUGGAAACGAUAGCUAAUACCGCAUACUAGUAGAUGGACCUGCGUUGUAUUAGCUAGUAGGUAGGGGAAUGGCCUACCUAGGCAACGAUACAUAGCCGCCCUGGGAGGGUGAUCCGGCACACUGGGACCGGGGACCGGCCCAGACUCCUUCGGGAGGCAACAGGAGGGAAUCUUCGGCAAUGGGGGGAACCCUGACCGAGCAACGCCGCGUGAGUGAAGGAGGUUUUCGGAUCGGAAAGCUCUGUUGUUAAGGGAGCGGUACUUAACCAGAAAGGGACGGCUAACUACGUGCCAGCAGCCGCGGUAAUUC